rnacentral:tRNA from 1 species
UGUCUUGUAGCAUAAUUGGUAAUGCACCUCACUGUUAAUGAGGGAUCGACAGAUCAAUGCAGGUUCGAGUCCUGCCGAGGCAGCCA